UGGGAUGCAUCCUGUCCAGACAAAUUCUGGUUUAUUUGCAUUCAUAGGAAACACCUAAGGACUUUUAAACCUCAAAGAUGAGGGUGGGAACAACAGAGAAGAACCUAUUAUUGGGCCACCUAUCAAGCAAAAAGAAAAUACAGCAAUAGAGAUCACACUGGAUGCAUGGUGAACUGUGGCAGAUGGAGAAAUGGUUGGAAGCCAUGGGACGAAUGCCUAGAGUUUUGAAGGAAUGUAGACAAGGUCUCCAGAUUUGCCACCCAUGCUGAGUGCCGUGGUGUGAUCAUGGCUUAUUUCAACCUCAACCUCCCCCACUCAAGCGAUCCUCCUGCCUCAGCCUCUGGAGUAGCUGGGACUACAGGCACGCACCACCACACCCAGCCAUAAUUUGCCUCUUGCUGUAACUAAAAGGUCACAAAAACAAAGAAUUCUAAAAAAUCUUCUUCUUAAGUGCUGAAUACAUAUAGGAACUACAGUUCUCAGACCUGCAGUGAGUUCUGACCAAUGGAAUUCAGUGGGAUGAUAGAUGCUGCCUUUGAAGCCACCCCAUCAACUGGCUCAUCUCCUCCUGUC
rnacentral:lncRNA from 1 species